rnacentral:rRNA from 1 species
AAUAUUGGACAAUGGGGGCAACCCUGAUCAAGCCAUGCAGCGUGUGUGAAGACGGCCUUCGGAUUGUAAAGCACUUUAAGUUGGGAGGAAGGGCUUUAGGCGCAUACCCUGAAGCUUUGACGUUACGCACAGAAUCAGCACCGGAGAACUUGCUGCCAGCAGCCGCGGUAAUACGGAGGUUGCAAGCGUUAAUCGUAAUUACUGGGCGUAAAGAGCGCGUAGGUGGUUCAGUAAGAUGGGUGUGAAAUCCCCGGGCUUAACCUGGGAACUGCUUUCAUAACUGCUGAGCUAGAGUACGGUAGAGGGUAGUGGAAUUUCCUGUGUAGCGGUGAAAUGCGUAGAUAUAGGAAGGAACACCAGUGGCGAAGGCGACUACCUGGACUGAUACUGACACUGAGGUGCGAAAGCGUGGGGAUCAAACA